AUGGCUCCACAGCCCCUAAGGGGCCUGGUGUCAUCUCUGCUCUGGUGCUUGAGCCUGUUUCUGAGCCUCCCAGGACCUAUCUGGCUCCAACCCUCUCUUCCUCCCCAUUCUUCUCCCCGAGCUGAGCCCCAUCCAUUUCAUACCUGCUGGGCACUGGUGGAUAGCUUCAACAAGGGCCUGGAGCAAACUAUCCGGGACAACAUCGGUGGUGGAAACACUGCCCGGGAGGAAAAGAAGUUGUCCAAAUACAAAGACAGUGGGACCCGCCUGGUGGAGGCCUGUGCAGCAAGUCAGACUUCUAGUACCACCAUCUGCUAGAGCUGAGUGAGAAGCUGGUGGAGGCUGGGUGGUUUCACAGGCAGCAAGAUGCCCGGACCUCUUCCAGUGGCUCUGUUCCAAUGCCCUGAAGCUCUGCUGCCCCUCUGGCACCUUACGACCCUUCUGCCUGCCAUGUCUUGGGGGCACAGAGAGGCCCUGCAGUGGCUAUAGGCAGUAUGAAGGGGAAGGGACUCGAGGGGGCAGGGGGCACUGUGACUGCCAAGCCGGCUAUGGGGGCAAGGCCUGUGGCCAGUGUGGCCUUGGCUACUUUGAGGGGGAGCGCAACAGCAGCCAUCUGGGUAUGUUCAGCAUUUUCUGGUCCCUGUGCCAGCUGCACAGGGCCUGAGGAAUCCCACUGUCUGCAGUGCAAGAAAGGCUGGGCCCUACAUCACCUCAAGUGUGUAGACAUGGAUGAGUGUGGUACAGAGCAAGCCACCUGUGGAGCCCGACCAGUUCUGUGUGAACACAAAAGGAUCCUAUGAGUGCAAAGAUUGUGCAAAGGCCUGCCUGAGCUGUAUGGGAGCAGGGCCAGGGUGUUGCAAAAAAUGCAGCCCUGGCUACCAGCAGGUGGGCUCCAAGUGCCUAGAUCUGGAUGAGUGUGAGACAGUGGUGUAUCCAAAAGAGAAUGAGCAGUGUGAAAACACGGAGGGUAGCUACCACCGUGUCUGUGCUGAAGGCUACAGCCCAGAGGACGGCAUCUGAAGGAUGAGGUCCCAGAGUCAGCGGGCUUCUUAGCGGAGAUGACGGAGAUGACGGAGGAUGAAAUAGUGGUCCUGCCGCAGAUGUUCUUUGCUGUGCACUGGCCACGCUUGCUGCUAAGGGUGACUUGGUGUUCACUGCCAUCUUCAUUGGAGCUGUGGCAGCUAUGACGGGGUACUGGUUGUCAGAGCGAAGUGACCGUGUGCUGGAGGGCUUCAGCACGGGUAGAUAA